rnacentral:misc_RNA from 1 species
GUAGGUGAACCUGCGGAAGGAUCAUUACCGAGUUCAUGCCCUUCGGGGUAGAUCUCCCACCCUUUGUAUACUAUACCUCUGUUGCUUUGGCGGACCGCCUAGCUACUGGCUUCGGCUGGUAAGUGCCUGCCAGAGGAUUCCAAACUCUGAAUGUCAAUGUCGUCUGAGUACUAUUUAAUAGUUAAAACUUUCAACAACGGAUCUCUUGGUUCUG